rnacentral:rRNA from 1 species
AUUGAACGCUGGCGGCAGGCCUAACACAUUCAAGUCUAUCUGAUUACGUUCUCUUGCUCCUUUCUUCAUCUUCUUACGUUUGAGUAAUUCCUAUGAAUCUUCCUGUUCGUGGUGGCUCACGUCCUUACACUUGCGCUAAUCCCGCAUACGUCCUGAGGGAGAAAGUGGGGGAUCUUCGGACCUCACGCUAUCAGAUGAGCCUAGGUCGGAUUAGCUAGUUGGUGGGGUAAAGGCCUACCAAGGCGACGAUCCGUAACUGGUCUGAGAGGAUGAUCAGUCACACGGGAAAUGAGAAACGGGCCAGACUCAGAAGGGAGGCAGCAGUGGGGAAUAUUGGACAAUGGGAGAAAGCCUGAUCCAGCCAUGCCGCGUGUGUGAAGAAGGUCUUCGGAUGGGAAAGCAAUUUAAGGUGGGAGGAAGGGCAGUAAGUUAAUACCUUGCUGUUUUGACGUCACCAACAGAAUAAGCACCGGCUAACUUCGUG